UGGGGAAUUUUGGACAAUGGGGGCAACCCUGAUCCAGCAAUGCCGCGCGAGUGAAGAAGGCCUUCGGGUUGUAAAGCUCUUUUGUCAGGGAAGAAACGGGAUGUCCUAAUGCGGUGUCCUAAUGACGGUACCUGAAGAAUAAGCACCGGCUAACUACGUGCCAGCAGCCGCGGUAAUACGUAGGGUGCAAGCGUUAAUCGGAAUUACUGGGCGUAAAGCGUGCGCAGGCGGUUAUGUAAGACAGGUGUGAAAUCCCCGGGCUUAACCUGGGAAUGGCAUUUGUGACUGCAUGGCUAGAGUGUAUCAGAGGGGGGUAGAAUUCCACGUGUAGCAGUGAAAUGCGUAGAGAUGUGGAGGAAUACCGAUGGCGAAGGCAGCCCCCUGGGAUAACACUGACGCUCAUGCACGAAAGCGUGGGGAGCAAACAGGAUUAGAUACCCUGGUAGUCCACGCCCUAAACGAUGUCUACUAGUUGUCGGGUCUUAAUUGACUUGGUAACGCAGCUAACGCGUGAAGUAGACCGCCUGGGGAGUACGGUCGCAAGAUUA
rnacentral:rRNA from 1 species